rnacentral:rRNA from 1 species
UAAGCCAUGCAUGCCUCUGAAUAACUGCAUUGCAGGAAUCUGCGCAUGGCUCAUUACAUCAGACGUAAUCUGCCGCAAUAGCUUUGCGGUCUCCGCAUUAUUGGAUAACUUGGCGAAACGUCAAGCUAAUACAUGAACUAAUGCAAACCUCUUCGGAGUUUUGCUGCGAAUGAAUGAAAUUAAAACCAAUGCCGCGGACGCGGCAGCAACACAGUAGUGUUGACUCAAUUCAUUCCGUGCGAAAGCUGGUUUACCAGCGUCUUUUGACGAACAACUGCCCUAUCAGCUUGUGUUGGCAGUGUAGUGGACUGCCAAGGCUUUGACGGGAGCGGGGGAUUAGGGUUCGAUUCCGGAGAGGGAGCCUGAGAAAUAGCUACCACUUCUACGGAGGGCAGCAGGCGCGCAAAUUGCCCAAUGUCAAAAAAAAACGAUGAGGCAGCGAAAAGAAAUAGGGCCUGCAGACGGUUUACCGUAUGUGGGAUACAAUGGGGGAUAUUUAAUGCCAUCCAAUAUCGAGUAUCAAUUGGAGGACAAGUCUGGUGCCAGCACCCGCGGUAAUUCCAGCUCCAAAAGCGUAUAUUAACGCUGCUGCUGUUAAAGGGUUCGUAGUUGAAUUGUGGCUUGCAAAUCCGCUGUCCCGUCCUCUUGAGGGCGCCAGCGCUUGCUUGCCGUGAACAUUCGAAACACAAAACACGGGGAUUGGUUCCUUUCCAACUACGCAUGUCAUGCAUGCGGAAAGGCGCCCGUGAUUUUUACUGUGACUAAAAAAGCGCGACCAAAGCAGUCGUUCGACCUGUUUUUUCAAGCAUGGGAUAACAAAGCUAACCUUCGGAUAUUUCCGGUUC